GAUGAACGCUGGCGGCGUGCCUAAUACAUGCAAGUCGAGCGAACGGACGAGAAGCUUGCUUCUCUGAUGUUAGCGGCGGACGGGUGAGUAACACGUGGAUAACCUACCUAUAAGACUGGGAUAACUUCGGGAAACCUGAGCUAAUACCGGAUGAUAUUUUGAACCGCAUGGUUCAAAAGUGAAAGACGGUCUUGCUGUCACUUAUAGAUGGAUCCGCGCUGCAUUAGCUAGUUGGUAAGGUAACGGCUUACCAAGGCAACGAUGCAUAGCCGACCUGAGAGGAUGAUCGGCCACACUGGAACUGAGACACGGUCCAGACUCCUACGGGAGGCAGCAGUGGGGAAUCUUGCGCAAUGGGCGAAAGCCUGACGGAGCAACGCCGCGUGAGUGAUGAAGGUCUUCGGAUCGUAAAACUCUGUUAUUAGGGAAGAACAUAUGUGUAAGUAACUGUGCACAUCUUGACGGUACCUAAUCAGAAAGCCACGGCUAACUACGUG
rnacentral:rRNA from 1 species